CUACGGAGGGGGUUAGCGUUGUUCGGAAUUACUGGGCGUAAAGCGCACGUAGGCGGACUGGAAAGUUGGGGGUGAAAUCCCGGGGCUCAACCCCGGAACUGCCUCCAAAACUUCCAAUCUAGAGAUCGAGAGAGGUGAGUGGAAUUCCAAGUGUAGAGGUGAAAUUCGUAGAUAUUUGGAGGAACACCAGUGGCGAAGGCGGCUCACUGGCUCGAUACUGACGCUGAGGUGCGAAAGCGUGGGGAGCAAACAGGAUUAGAAACCCCGGUAGUCC
rnacentral:rRNA from 1 species